CGAUGGACGGCCAUCGUUGAAAGUACACACCGGGACGGCCCGG
rnacentral:sRNA from 1 species